rnacentral:rRNA from 1 species
AACGUAGGAGACAAACGUUAUCCGGAGUUACUGGGCGUAAAGGGCGUGUAGGUGGUAUCGUAAGUCUGGCGUGAAAUUUCUCGGCUUAACCGAGGCAGGUCGUCGGAUACUGCGAGGCUAGAGGACGGUAGAGGCGUGUGGAAUUCCGGGUGUAGUGGUGAAAUGCGUAGAGAUCCGGAGGAACACCAGUGGCGGAGGCGACACGCUGGGCCGUACCUGACACUGAUGCGCGACAGCAUGGGGAGCAAACAGG